UACGAAGGGGGCUAGCGUUGCUCGGAAUCACUGGGCGUAAAGGGUGCGUAGGCGGUCCGUUAAGUCGGAAGUGAAAUCUCAAGGCUCAACCUUGAAAUCGCUUUCGAUACUGGCGGACUUGAGGCAGGUAGGGGAAGGUGGAAUUCCUGGUGUAGCGGUGAAAUGCGCAGAUAUCAGGAGGAACACCGGUGGCGAAGGCGGCCUUCUGGGCCUGUUCUGACGCUGAGGAGCGAAAGCAUAGGGAGCGAACAGG
rnacentral:rRNA from 1 species